UCCGUUAUGGUGUAGUGGCUAACAUUAUCGCCUCUCAUAGUCAAGUCUGCAUCAUCCGCGAUAGCCCAGGGUUUGAUUCCCUGUAACGGAA